rnacentral:misc_RNA from 1 species
UUUCCGUAGGUGAACCUGCGGAAGGAUCAUUUAUAAUAAGUGUUUUAUGGCACUUUUUUAAAUCCAUAUCCACCUUGUGUGCAAUGUCAGGGUUGAUUUUUCUCUCGAGAGGAUCAACCCCAAACAUCAACUAUAUCUCAACUCUUUGUCUGAAAAAUAUUAUGAAUAAAACAAUUCAAAAUACAACUUUCAACAACGGAUCUCUUGGCUCUC